rnacentral:rRNA from 1 species
GGUGGAUCCUGCCGGAGGUUACUGCUAUCGAGGUUCGACUAAGCCAUGCGAGUCGAAUGUAGCAAUACAUGGCGUACUGCUCAGUAACACGUGGACAACCUGCCCUUAGGACGGGUAUAAACCCGGGAAACUGGGUAUAAUCCCCGAUAGAUCUCGGCUGCUGGAAUGCACCGAGGUCGAAAGCUCCGGCGCCUAAGGAUGGGUCUGCGGCCUAUCAGGUAGUAGUGGGUGUAGCGUACCUACUAGCUACGACGGGUACGGGUUGUGAGAGCAAGAGCCCGGAGAUGGAUUCUGAGACACGAAUCCAGGCCCUACGGGGUGCAGCAGGCGCGAAAACUUUACAAUGCUGGCAACAGCGAUAAGGGAACCUCGAGUGCCAGGUUACAAAUCUGGCUGUCGUGAUGCCUAAAAAGCAUUACAUAGCAAGGGCCGGGCAAGACCGGUGCCAGCCGCCGCGGUAACACCGGCGGCUCGAGUGGUAACCGUUAUUAUUGGGUCUAAAGGGUCUGUAGCCGGCCGGAUAAGUCUCUUGGGAAAUCUGGCAGCUCAACUGUCAGGCUUUCAGGAGAUACUGUCUGGCUCGAGGCCGGGAGAGGUGAGAGGUACUUCAGGGGUAGGGGUGAAAUCUUGUAAUCCUUGAAGGACCACCAGUGGCGAAGGCGUCUCACCAGAACGGACCUGACGGCAAGGGACGAAAGCUAGGGGCACGAACCGGAUUAGAUACCCGGGUAGUCCUAGCCGUAAACGAUACUCGCUAGGUGUCGGCCACGGUGCGACCGUUGUCGGUGCCGUAGGGAAGCCGUGAAGCGAGCCACCUGGGAAGUACGGCCGCAAGGCUGAAACUUAAAGGAAUUGGCGGG